rnacentral:sRNA from 1 species
GUUACACUUAUAAAGUAUAAAGGGAUGAUAAUAGAUUUAACGUU